rnacentral:rRNA from 1 species
AGCAGUAGGGAAUCUUCCACAAUGGGCGAAAGCCUGACGGAGCAAUGCCGCGUGAGUGAAGAAGGCCUUCGGGUCGUAAAACUCUGUUAUAAGAGAAGAACAAAUUGUAGAGUAACUGCUACAGUCUUGACGGUAUCUUAUCAGAAAGCCACGGCUAACUACGUGCCAGCAGCCGCGGUAAUACGUAGGUGGCAAGCGUUGUCCGGAUUUAUUGGGCGUAAAGGGAGCGCAGGUGGUUUCUUAAGUCUGAUGUGAAAGCCCACGGCUUAACCGUGGAGGGUCAUUGGAAACUGGGAAACNUGAGACAGAAG